AUAUUAUAUAAAUUAUUUUUGUUAUUAUUAAUUUUAUUAUCAUUAUUAGAAUUAAUUUAUUGUUUUUGUAUAUGUUUUAGAUUUAAUUAAUUUUAUUAUAAUUUAUUUUUACUGUAUAGGAUAUACUUUAAUUUAUGAAAGUGAAUAUUUUGUUGUACCUUGUGUAUCAGGAUUUAUUAAAUAAUAUUAUUUAUUUUUUAUUUCCCGAUUUUAGAGGAUUUAAAUAAGUAUUAUAGUUAUUGUUUUAUAAUUAUUAAUAAUAUUUAUUUGGUAAUGAUAUGUUAUUAGACUUUAAUGGUAUCUGGUUUUUUAAGAAAUGAAUUUAAUUCAUGUAUUUUUAUUUAUAUAUUUUAUUUUUGGCAAAUGUUUAUUUUAUUAAUACUAAUAUUAUGGGGGAUGAGCUCUAUAUUAUAUUUUUAUAAUUUUUAUUUAUUAUAUUUUUGUUGGCUUUAUAAUAGCUAUCAUUUUAAGUUUGUUAAAAUUUUAUUUUGUUAUAUUUUUCAUUUAUUAUUAUAUUUAAUUGUUUUAUUAAAAUUUUUUAUUUAAUUAUUAUUUAUUUGUAAUUAUGAUGAAAUUAGUAAAUUAUUUAAUGUUAUUUUAUUUAUUUAAUUGUUAUAAUUUUGAAAGGAACUAGGCAAAAAUUAUAUUCUCGCAUGUUUAUCAAAAACAUCUUUUCUUGUUUUGAUAUAUGAAAUAUGACCUGCCCACUGAAUGAUUUUAAAGGGCCGCGGUAUUUUGACUGUGCAAAGGUAGCAUAAUCAUUAGUCCUUUAAUUGUGGACUGGAAUGAAUGGUUGGACGAGGAAUAUACUGUUUCUUAUUAUUUAUUUGAAUUUAAAUUUUAAGUUAAAAAGCUUAAAUGUUUUUAUGGGACGAGAAGACCCUAUAGAAUUUAUAUAUAUAUUUAUAUACAUAUUGUUUGAUUAUUUAUCAAUAUUUUAAUAUAUAUUUUAUUGGGGUGAUAGGAAGAAUUGAAUAACUCUUUUUUUUAUUUAUACAUUUGUUUAUGUUUAUUUGAUCCUUACUUUUUGAUUAUAAGAUUAAAUUACCUUAGGGAUAACAGCGUAAUCUUUUUGGAGAGUUCUUAUCAAUAAAUGGGUUUGCGACCUCGAUGUUGGAUUAAGAUUUAAUUUGGGUGUAGAAUUUCAAUUGUUUAGGUCUGUUCGACCUUUAAAAUCUUACAUGAUCUGAGUUCAGACCGGCGAGAGCCAGGUUGGUUUCUAUCUAUA
rnacentral:rRNA from 1 species